AGAGUUUGAUCCUGGCUCAGGACGAACGCUGGCGGCGUGCCUAAUACAUGCAAGUCGAACGCUUCUUUCCUCCCGAGUGCUUGCACUCAAUUGGAAAGAGGAGUGGCGGACGGGUGAGUAACACGUGGGUAACCUACCCAUCAGAGGGGGAUAACACUUGGAAACAGGUGCUAAUACCGCAUAACAGUUUAUGCCGCAUGGCAUAAGAGUGAAAGGCGCUUUCGGGUGUCGCUGAUGGAUGGACCCGCGGUGCAUUAGCUAGUUGGUGAGGUAACGGCUCACCAAGGCCACGAUGCAUAGCCGACCUGAGAGGGUGAUCGGCCACACUGGGACUGAGACACGGCCCAGACUCCUACGGGAGGCAGCAGUAGGGAAUCUUCGGCAAUGGACGAAAGUCUGACCGAGCAACGCCGCGUGAGUGAAGAAGGUUUUCGGAUCGUAAAACUCUGUUGUUAGAGAAGAACAAGGACGUUAGUAACUGAACGUCCCCUGACGGUAUCUAACCAGAAAGCCACGGCUAACUACGUGCCAGCAGCCGCGGUAAUACGUAGGUGGCAAGCGUUGUCCGGAUUUAUUGGGCGUAAAGCGAGCGCAGGCGGUUUCUUAAGUCUGAUGUGAAAGCCCCCGGCUCAACCGGGGAGGGUCAUUGGAAACUGGGAGACUUGAGUGCAGAAGAGGAGAGUGGAAUUCCAUGUGUAGCGGUGAAAUGCGUAGAUAUAUGGAGGAACACCAGUGGCGAAGGCGGCUCUCUGGUCUGUAACUGACGCUGAGGCUCGAAAGCGUGGGGAGCAAACAGGAUUAGAUACCCUGGUAGUCCACGCCGUAAACGAUGAGUGCUAAGUGUUGGAGGGUUUCCGCCCUUCAGUGCUGCAGCAAACGCAUUAAGCACUCCGCCUGGGGAGUACGACCGCAAGGUUGAAACUCAAAGGAAUUGACGGG
rnacentral:rRNA from 1 species